rnacentral:rRNA from 1 species
GACGAACGCUGGCGGCGUGCUUAACACAUGCAAGUCGAACGGAAAGGCCCCUUUGGGGGUCCUCGAGUGGCGAACGGGUGAGUAACACGUGAGUAACCUGCCCUUGACUUCGGGAUAACUUCAGGAAACUGGGGCUAAUACCGGAUAGGAAUCCUUGCUGCAUGGUGGGGGUUGGAAAGCUUCGGCGGUUUUGGAUGGACUCGCGGCUUAUCAGCUUGUUGGUGGGGUAGUGGCUUACCAAGGCUUUGACGGGUAGCCGGCCUGAGAGGGCGACCGGCCACAUUGGGACUGAGAUACGGCCCAGACUCCUACGGGAGGCAGCAGGGGGGAAUAUUGCACAAGGGGCGGAAGCCUGAUGCAGCAACGCCGCGUGCGGGAGGACGGCCUUCGGGUUGUAAACCGCUUUCAGCAGGGGCGAAGCUUGUGGUGACGGUACCUGCAGAAGAAGCACCGGCUAACUACGUG